GUCCAGCCCUUCUGGCUUCUCCAGAGCCUUUGCAGAACCCAGAGGCAGAGCUGGCUGCAGUUUACUUCCCAGCCUACCCUGGAAGAGAGGAACUCACCUGCACAGAGACACUGUCCGCCUCCUUCCCAACUAAGGAGCACGUGAUUUCAGACCCGGAAGGCCAGCUUCCUAAAGGCCCAUUCUCUUCUCUCAUUGGCGGACACCAGGUUCUGACUCAAUCCUGGCUCCUGAGCUCUGUGUAGUACCUUCUGUCCCCCCCCAGAGGUCCUCUUAACAAGCCCCAAACCAGGCCAUUUGCAGUUAUCCCUCCCUGGGUCCUUGAAGAUGGAGCCUUGUCCACCCCCUCUACUCGAGAGAAGAUUCACGAGGCAGGUGGUCACCAGAAAGUUCUGCAUGCAAGGAGUUUUGGAAGGGGUGGGGGAGAGUCGAGAUAGAGUUUCUCUGUGUAGCCAUGAGUGUCCAGGAACGUGCUCUUUAGCACAGGCUGGUCUUGAGCUCAGAGAUCCGCCUGC
rnacentral:lncRNA from 1 species